UACGUAGGGUGCAAGCGUUAAUCGGAAUUACUGGGCGUAAAGCGCACGUAGGCGGUUUUUUAAGUCAGAUGUGAAAGCCCCGGGCUCAACCUGGGAAUUGCAUUUGAAACUGGGGAACUAGAGUGUGUGAGAGGGGGGUAGAAUUCCAAGUGUAGCGGUGAAAUGCGUAGAGAUUUGGAGGAAUACCAGUGGCGAAGGCGGCCCCCUGGCACAAUACUGACGCUGAGGUGCGAAAGCGUGGGGAGCAAACAGG
rnacentral:rRNA from 1 species